rnacentral:rRNA from 1 species
UACGUAGGGGGCAAGCGUUGUCCGGAAUCAUUGGGCGUAAAGCGCGCGUAGGCGGCCAGAUAAGUCCGGUGUGAAAGCCACAGGCUCAACCUGUGAAUGCCGCUGGAAACUGUCUGGCUAGAGUCCGGGAGGGGCGAGUGGAAUUCCUGGUGUAGCGGUGAAAUGCGCAGAUAUCAGGAAGAACACCAAUGGCGAAAGCAGCUCUCUGGGACGGUACUGACGCUGAGACGCGAAAGCGUGGGGAGCGAACAGG